rnacentral:rRNA from 1 species
CCCUUAGAUGUUCUGGGCCGCACGCGCGCUACACUGUUCGACGCAGCGAGUCUUAACCUUGACCGAAAGGUUUGGGUAAUCUUCAGCAAAGUCGAACGUGAUGGGGAUCGAUCAUUGCAAUUAUUGAUCGUGAACGAGGAAUUCCUAGUAAGUGCAAGUCAUCAGCUUGCGCUGAUUACGUCCCUGCCCUUUGUACACACCGCCCGUCGCUACUACCGAUUGAAUGGUUUAGUGAGAUCUCUUGAUUGACGCUGGCUAGGGGGCGACCCUUGGCCAGACUGUUGAGAAACUGCUCAAACUUGAUCAUUUAGAGGAAGUAAAAGUCGUAACA